rnacentral:snRNA from 1 species
GGAUGUGAGUGUGAUCUGGCUGCGACAUCUGUCACCCCAUUGAUCACCAGGGUUGAUUCGGCUGAUCUGGCUGGCUAGGCGGGUGUCCCCUUCCUCCCUCACCGCUCCAUGUGCAUCCCUCCCAAAGCUGCACGCUCGGUUGAAGAGGACGGCCUUCCCCAAAUAGAGACGGACAGGUCUUCCGUCGAGGGUAUAUGAGUAGCUGCGCUCCCCUGCUAGAACCUCCAAACAAGCUCUCAAGGAAUGCUGACCUGACUACAGGAAAAAUUACUACACAUUUCCAAGUGCAUAUAUAUAUAUAUAUAUACACAUAUAUAUAUAUGUAUAU